GAACUCAUUGGCUGGUCUGGUAAAAGGUAGCGGGGUGCUUCCCCAGCUGGUCGCAGGAAUAGUGCGUUUUCUUUGUCGCGCAAGGGGCGUGGUUCAUUUAAGCCGGUAGUUGAAGCGCUGGGGGCAGCUGUAGUGGGAGUGUUCCAGGAUUCGCCUUGCCCAGGUUUUUAAAGUAAACUAUAUGCCAAUGUGGGCUUUGAGAAGACAGCUUUCUGGGUCAUGGUACGGAAAUGAGAUACACUUAGUUUCUGCUUUGUCAAGGGAUCCAGUAUUUAAGAAUAUUUUGGGCUGCUCUCCCUCCCUCAUUUUCUACCUUUUUAAGGACUGGAUGGUCUUUCCUUGAUUAUCAGAUUCAAUUUUUCAAGUAUAUUUAAAGUUGGAGUUCGUUGCUAAAGAUGGCAGACCCAGAUGUCCUCACUGAAGUUCCAGCAGCAUUGAAGCGGUUAGCCAAGUAUGUGAUCCGGGGAUUUUAUGGCAUUGAGCAUGCCUUGGCCUUGGACAUCUUGAUCAGGAACUCCUGUGUGAAAGAGGAGGAUAUGCUGG
rnacentral:lncRNA from 1 species